AGUGAACGCUGGCGGUAGGCCUAACACAUGCAAGUCGAACGGCAGCACAGGAGAGCUUGCUCUCUGGGUGGCGAGUGGCGGACGGGUGAGGAAUACAUCGGAAUCUACCUUGUCGUGGGGGAUAACGUAGGGAAACUUACGCUAAUACCGCAUACGACCUUCGGGUGAAAGUGGGGGACCGCAAGGCCUCACGCGAUUAGAUGAGCCGAUGUCGGAUUAGCUAGUUGGCGGGGUAAAAGCCCACCAAGGCGACGAUCCGUAGCUGGUCUGAGAGGAUGAGCAGCCACACUGGAACUGAGACACGGUCCAGACUCCUGCGGGAGGCAGCAGUGGGGAAUAUUGGACAAUGGGCGCAAGCCUGAUCCAGCCAUACCGCGUGGGUGAAGAAGGCCUUCGGGUUGUAAAGCCCUUUUGUUGGGAAAGAAAUCUCGCCGGUUAAUACCUGGCGAGGAUGACGGUACCCAAAGAAUAAGCACCAGCUAACUUCGUGCCAGCAGCCGCGGUAACAC
rnacentral:rRNA from 1 species